UACGUAGGGGGCAAGCGUUGUCCGGAAUCAUUGGGCGUAAAGAGCUUGUAGGCGGCCAGAUAAGUCCGCUGUGAAAUCUCGAGGCUCAACUUCGAGCUGUCGGUGGAAACUGUCUGGCUAGAGUCCGGAAGAGGAGAAUGGAAUUCCUGGUGUAGCGGUGAAAUGCGCAGAUAUCAGGAAGAACACCCGUGGCGAAGGCGGUUCUCUGGGACGGUACUGACGCUGAGACGCGAAAGCGUGGGGAGCGAACAGG
rnacentral:rRNA from 1 species